AUCUCCUUACUGUAGCAGGGGGUACCGCUCACGAUCCCGAUCACGGUCCUACUCGCCACGUCACUACUGAACAUUUAGAAAAGAAGGCAACAGAUUCAGUGUUAUUGUUCAGAUGCAUACUUUUUAUGUUUUGUUUUAUUUUGCUUUGUUUUAAAAUAAUAUAUGUGGUUUUGAAGGUCUAAAAAAAAAAAAUUGUCCCAGAGAUGCAGUCUGUCUAAGCACCACAAACUCUGUAAAUUUGUAGGCAAACUUUUUAGAUAGGUAAACAAGCAUCUUUGGAUCUCAUAAAAAAAAAAAGAAACGGCUUACAUUGUUUUGGGAAUCCUAACAGCUAAAACCUUUUGGUUUGUUUAUGCUCUGCUCAACAAGUUUGGUUUUUAUACAAGAAAGACGUUCUUUGGUAUAUUAUAUUUUCUCAUUUUGCUGUUUGUAUGUAGCCGUCAAGAUCCCAGUUUGCAUGUGUUUAAUGUUUUGAAGACCAUCUUUCUAUUUAUUUUUGUGUUUUUUUCAAAUGGAAAGUAUGUUUUGGGGUUGUUGUACAUACACAAAAAGAUACUUUGGUCUGUUGUUCAGUGACAGUUUGUAGUAUACUGUGAUGGCCACAUUGCACUGUGGUUUUAGAUGCAGGAAUGCUGCAGGUAUUGUUGCAGGUGUUGUACCAUGAAGUCCCAUCAAAACAGUUUGAGUUAUUUGGUGUGUUUUUUUUUCGUAACAGAAAUAAAAAUAUUACUGCUUAGUCUUCA